rnacentral:tRNA from 1 species
CGGGGUGUAGCGCAAUUGGUAGCGUACGUGGUUUGGGACCAUGGGGUUGCAGGUUCGAGUCCUGUCACUCCGACCA